rnacentral:ncRNA from 1 species
GCAAUAGAGGCGCGAACGCGAUGAGUACCUGUCCGGAGCCUGCGGAGGCUGUGAGGGGCGGGGAAAGGCAAGUUCGCCGAAACCAUCGGUCUCGCAAACCGGUGAGUUGGGGUACCGUCGAACAGGCGGUGCACUCCCGCUUUCGGACAAAAGCGG